AGAACAUCCUAAGAACAUGAACAAGAUACUGUCACUGGUUAUGAUAAUAAGUCUUUUGGCUGUAGUCACAGAAACUGUCCCCAUCGCAGAUUUAUUGAGAGUACGAAGAGAUGAUGUGCCAGCCGGAACAGAAAGCGAUGAGAACCAAAACAGUACUACUUUAAGCGGGGAAAAGUUCCCUGAUAGGAUAAGCGAAGGAAUUGGCUUUUGCUGCAAUCCCGGUGUGUGACAGGUCUCCAUGGUUUAGUUGUCGAAGACAUUUGAGAUGUUAUGGUUAAUAAACACAUCUUUAACCGUCA